GACGUAGGGCGCGAGCGUUGUCCGGAUUUAUUGGGCGUAAAGAGCUCGUAGGCGGUUUGGCAAGUCGGGUGUGAAAACUCCGGGCUCAACUCGGAGACGCCACUCGAUACUGCCAUGACUCGAGUCCGGUAGGGGAGUGCGGAAUUCCUGGUGUAGCGGUGAAAUGCGCAGAUAUCAGGAGGAACACCGGUGGCGAAGGCGGCACUCUGGGCCGGUACUGACGCUGAGGAGCGAAAGCGUGGGGAGCGAACAGG
rnacentral:rRNA from 1 species